CGAUGGNUAGGGGUUCUGAGAGGAAGGUCCCCCACAUUGGAACUGAGACACGGACCAGACUCCUACGGAAGGCAGCAG
rnacentral:rRNA from 1 species